CUGAAACCGUGUACGUACAAGCAGUGGGAGCCCCACCACUAAGCCAGUGGUGAACUCCACAUACGCAUCCUUUGCUGAGGAUACGGUUAACGGAGCGAAAGCGACGUUCAACCGCAAAAGAAGCAGAGGGGGCUUAGUGGUGGGGUGACUGCGUACCUUUUGUAUAAUGGGUCAGCGACUUAUAUUCUGUAGCAAGGUUAACCGAAUAGGGGAGCCGGAGGGAAACCGAGUCUUAAUUGGGCGUUAAGUUGCAGGGUAUAGACCCGAAACCCGGUGAUCUAGCCAUGGGCAGGUUGAAGGUUGGGUAACACUAACUGGAGGACCGAACCGACUAAUGUUGAAAAAUUAGCGGAUGACCUGUGGCUGGGGGUGAAAGGCCAAUCAAACCGGGAGAUAGCUGGUUCUCCCCGAAAGCUAUUUAGGUAGCGCCUCGUGAAUUCAUCUCCGGGGGUAGAGCACUGUUUCGGCUAGGGGGCCAUCCCGGCUUACCAACCCGAUGCAAACUGCGAAUACCGGAGAAUGUUAUCACGGGAGACACACGGCGGGUGCUAACGUCCGUCGUGAAGAGGGAAACAACCCAGACCGCCAGCUAAGGUCCCAAAGUCAUGGUUAAGUGGGAAACGAUGUGGGAAGGCCCAGACAGCCAGGAUGUUGGCUUAGAAGCAGCCAUCAUUUAAAGAAAGCGUAAUAGCUCACUGGUCGAGUCGGCCUGCGCGGAAGAUGUAACGGGGCUAAACCAUG
rnacentral:rRNA from 1 species